GGGGCGGAAGUUGCGUAGUGUGGGGCGGAUCCGGCCGCGCACAAUGGGCCAUGGAGUUCCCGUUCGAUGUGGACACGCUGCUCCCGGAGCGGAUCACGGUGCUGGACCAGCACCUGCGGCCCCCAGCCCGCCGACCCGGCACCACAACUCCGGCCCGUAUUGAUCUGCAGCAGCAAAUCAUGACCAUCGUAGAUGAACUGGGCAAGGCUUCUGCCAAGGCCCAGCACCUGCCUGCUCCCAUCACCAGCGCAUCACGAAUGCAGAGUAACCGCCACGUGAUCUAUGUGCUCAAAGAUACCUCAGCCCGACCGGCUGGAAAAGGAGCCAUUCUUGGUUUCAUCAAAGUUGGGUACAAGAAGCUCUUUGUGUUGGAUGAUCGCGAGGCUCACAAUGAGGUAGAGCCACUUUGCAUCCUGGACUUCUACAUACAUGAGUCCGUACAGCGCCACGGCCACGGACGAGAACUCUUCCAGUACAUGUUGCAGAAGGAGCGAGUGGAACCACACCAACUGGCCAUUGACCGCCCUUCACAGAAGCUGCUCAAGUUCCUGAACAAGCACUACAACCUGGAGAGCACAGUCCCACAGGUGAACAACUUUGUGAUUUUUGAAGGUUUCUUCGCCCACCAACAUCGGCCCCCUGCUCCCUCUCUGAGGGCAACUCGACACUCUCGUGCUGCUGCGGCUGAUACCACGCCCGCCGCCCCUGCACGAAAGCUGCCACCCAAGAGAGCAGAGGGAGACAUUAAGCCAUACUCUUCAAGUGACCGAGAAUUUCUGAAGGUAGCUGUGGAGCCUCCGUGGCCCCUCAACAGGGCCCCUCGCAGAGCCACACCUCCAGCCCACCCACCUCCACGUUCCAGCAGCCUGGGAAAUUCGCCAGAACGGGGUCCCCUACGUCCCUUUGUGCCAGAGCAGGAGCUGCUGCGGUCCCUGCGCCUCUGCCCUCCACAUCCUACUGCCCGCCUCCUUAUGGCCACCGACCCUGGAGGCAGCCCAGCCCAGCGUCGCCGCACCAGCUCCCUUCCCCGCUCUGAGGACAGCCGAUACUGAUAGCUACCCCCUUCCUCCCUGGGAUAGGCAGUAGGCAAAAACUCCUCUCGCUGGGAACCUCAGAACCCACUCUUCUACUGCAUCCUCCCGAAACCACUGGAACCCACAGGGUUCCCUCUUCCCCUUUCUCAGAGAACUGGGUUUUCAGGGCCCAAAACAGCCCAACGCUUUGUAGUUUUUCUUACCACAGAAAAGACCCCUGCUCUCCUGACUUGGGUUCUGAACACUCCCCACAAACUGCCUGACCCCCUGAUGUGAGGGCUUGCCCUAAUCACCUGGAGAAGCACACUCUUGCCUGCUGUCAGACUUUAGAACACCCUGGAGGGUUCAGGGGCCUCCUCUCCCAGGGAAACCUUUUAAGGAGUCUUGUCCAUGGAGUAUCUCCCAUAUUCCCUCUACAGUGUCUACUGGGGCUCCAGUAUUGCUUUGUGCCACCUGCCACACUUGCCCGUUCAACUUGCCAAUGCCAGCCAGUGAGCAAGCUCUGCCUUUGAGCAAUCCAGUGAGGACAGGGACUUACCAGGUCCCCAGUGGGAUCCACUCAACAUUGCCAAACUCUUCAUUUCCGUGUAUUGUGUAUAUGUGUCAGGGAACUGUCCCCACCUAGCUGAUGCUGCUUUGGGGUCUCUUCAGGAGUCUUGCUGAUACCACCAUUUCCCUAACAUCCACAUUUUCCAAGCAAGCUUCUGUCUUGGCAGUAGAUCCCAAAAAAUACUCUGGGAUCACUCAGCCAUGUUUUUCAAGAUAGGAUCAGGUCUCAAAGCUUGGGAAUCCUUUCCUAUUCACCCUGCCCUAUAGCUCUGCUGAUAUAUCUUUGUCUUGUGAGGUUGUCUUGAAAUAAGCUGAAGGACCACUCUCCCUCUGGCCUUCCCCUCUUCUUCCCUCUAUAGCAAGAUCCACCCUCCCUGCUCCACACCCAGGGCAUAGCUAGCUCCUUCACCCUCUGCUCCUUCUUUAUGUGUGGUAGAUCAGAUACCCCAACUGUGUCCUCUUUAAUCCUUGGGAGCAGGAUCUCCCUCUCUCCCUCCUUCUCCCUUUUCUUUUUCCCUCUCUGUGUUGUCUGCAAAAAGUAAUGCGUUCCUUUGUGUUUUCUAAAUUUUCACUGGAAAAUACAAGAAAGAACCACUCAAACGCAAUCUCACCGUGUCAGCCUCAUUUGUGUCUUGCCCUUUAUUUUCCUGGGGGUCUCAGGACCACUAUCUGUCUCACCCUCCUUACCCCGAACCUCAGUGCUCUGCUCCCAGGAUUGGCUGUGCGCAUACUCCCAGCUCACGGCUCAUGCUCCCACACACUGUCACCUCAGGGACUGGCUGAAUCCCUAUAUGCAGCCUCUGGGUCUACUCCCCUUUCCCUCAGGAACCUCCAACUUCCCCGUGACUCUUACCCUUUGCCAUGGUUAGCCCUUUCCCAAAUGUCAAGACCUAUGAACAUCAUCUUGGGAUCUACUGAUGAUCGCCACACUGACCCCUGGAUUCCUCUUCCUGUACUAAGUCCAGAUGACUGCCCCACUGAAGCCCUGGGUCUCUCAGGAAAAACCCCUUACCUCUAGCCAGAGUCCAAUCUGUCACCCUAUUCCAAAAGCUCCCUUCCUUUUCCUUAUAAAUUUGCCUUUGGUCUAAGGGUGUCUUAGGUUUUCCAAACUAUACAUCAGGGCACUAGAUCCAGCAAAUUUCUUUUUGCCUAAACAUGAGUCUUUCUAUAAGAUCACAUUUAGCCACACAUUGAACACAUUACCUUAAUAAGAAUAAAGCAACAGAUCAGGACUGCUUCAGACUAUCUUGGAUACAAAAUGAGCUCCCUCCCCUUUCCUGGGCACACUUAGGUCAGAACCUGUUAGAAGUGGUAAGUACCCACUUCUUGUUCCACUGCUGUUCUAAUCCUUCCCUCCAUACCCGCCCAUCUCAUCCUGUAGCCUCUUCCCCAUCAUCUCCCAUUUCUUCUGCAGGGGGACUCCCCCAGGGCUGGUAGCCCAAAGCUGCUGCUACAGCCGCCGUGGGGGGUUGAAUUCCUCAUCCCCUAACACAGGCAACCAAGAAGCAAAGCAGGGGGAGCAGGAAACAGACACUAGGUCUGCCACUGAGGAGCAGGUUAUGU